CAAGUUUACAGUACAUAAGGGAUUUGCCGACAUUAGCUUGAGAUUUAUGUACAGGUCUGAAGGUUUUUUCCUUCUAGUCCAGAGUAUGAUGCAAAAAGGAUUGGAAGCACGAAAGCCCAUGACAAGCAUUGAAUUUAUUGCCCUCCCAAACAUCAUGCUAAUGAGAGAACGCAAUCAAUCUCGACCUGCAGACCAAAACUCGAAUUCGACGACCAGUAUUGAUUUUGGACUCGACGGGAGUAAUCAAGUGCAAGAGUGGUUUGCGUUCCUUCAGGUUAUGACGUGAAGAAGCGUUUCUGGAAGUGAGAUUGGUGCGACCAACAGGAUUUUCCUCUGGAUGAGUUCCAGUUGUAAGUGUGUUGGAAUUGUGCUCCAUAAAGUGAUCCUACAACCUUUUUGGGUCGUGCCUAUACCCCACCCGUUCCCCCUCGGCGUAAGAUCAUUCUUAUUUUCAAUCAUAUUUCUACAAUACUUUGGACCAUCUCAAUAUAUAUCUAUAUAUCAAGAAGCAAAUGCGAGAUGGUUUCCGUCUACCUUAUUUAGCUAGCGACCAAGGAACUCCCCUCAUUGAAGAAAUACAGUUCACUUGCCAGAGGAGAAAUCCUCACACCAUUUUUGGUCCUUCGAGCCGGAUCGCGCAGCAAGGCCUGGGGCGUCUGAGGUCGCGAAGCUCUUCAGAUUUCCAGUUCCAAUUGACAAAAGAAACCAUGGCCGACGAGGACGUUCGGCCAAUUGGUCUUGACCAGCCAGACCUUGCUCUACCAACUAGGAGCACGUCUGCGGGUGGUAUUGACCCAACGAUACGCAAAUCCAUGUCUUCAAAGAAAAGGAUGCUGACCCUGCAGAUUAAUGCCAUCAGAGCAAGGCUUGGUGAUCAUCUCAAAACGUCGAGGACGAGAAUUAAGCUGGAUUUGGAAGCCGUGGAGAAGACCUUGGGGAGUCUACAAGCCGUACUUCAAGAAUAUAUGGACAAUGGAUUGGACGAAGAGGUUCAGGAUCAAAUCACGGCAUACUUGUUCACAGAAGAACAACGUGUGCGGGAUCUCCAAGCUGAUGUCAGCGACCACCUUGACGGGAGAUUGGAUGAGCCUCCAUCCAUCUGUGGGUCAGAGGAUGGGGAUAAUAUUGGGAGAGUAAUGAGUGGAGGAGAGAUUAACCCACCGCCUGCCCCGAGAAGAACUAAUACAGAGGUUGAAGGCGUGGGUUCCACAUUAGGUGAAAUCAUUGGACGUACGAAUCGGCAAGACUUCUGGGCAAGUGAGGAAUAUGAUCCUGAAGUAUCCUUCCGCCCUCAGAGGCGAGAUGGCGAUUGGGAGAACAGAAAAGCGUCAAGCCUUCCCUUAAGACCUGGGGCCCAGUCAGUUGACCCCAAUAGGUCUGGGGGACACUGGAUGGAAAAUCCUACAACUGAAGUACCCUGGGGCAUGAAUGGGGCACGAGCUACCUUGGACCUUAAGAUGCCAAAAUUCAAUGGAAAUAUGGUCGAGUUCCAUGAAUGGGCUAAUAUGUUCCAGGCGUUGGUCCAUAAUUCUUCAAAGUCUGUACCCGAGAAGAUGGGGAUGUUAAAGGCCUCACUGGGAGAGUCACCAAGACGGUUAAUCUAUGGGUUUGGGAACUCUGAGAGCCACUACAAGGCCGCUCUGAAAACAUUGUUCAAGGUAUUUGGUGGAGAGGAACUUGUUGUGGAAGCCCACACGCAAGAAAUCGAGAACCUGCCUAGAGUAAAACCGAGGGAUCACCAAAGCUUGGAGAACCUAGCUUUCAACUUACAGGGGCACCUGCUCAUCAUUCAAGAGAGAGUGGGACCAGGGGACACUCUCUGGGGUCAAAUCGUGCGCUGUGUAGAGCGUAAGCUUGACAAAGAAACCUUUAAUGCAUGGGACCAACUGAGCAGAGAGAUUCCAAGGGAGAAAAAAUUGACCAAACUGAGUGAUUGGUUACUGGAGUUGUCCCAGAGAGAUAGGAGAUAUUUUGGACAAUCUUGGGAGUUAAGGACCAGGACUGCAUUGACCAAUACAACUGCAUUGGGGCAAGGGUGCCCAAUCUGCUCAGAGUUCCACAAUACCUCCAGUUGUGACACCUUUAUGAACUCCACGGUCGGACAAAGAUAUGACUUGGCAAUCGAGAAAAGGCUCUGCUUUUCAUGCCUUGGAGUGGGGCACGUUAGCCAAGACUGCAAGAGCAGGAAGCUUUGCGGAAAGGAUGGAUGCAAGAGCUCUCAUCAUGAAAUGUUCCAUAGAAGCCGUGGAACAUCAUCCAACCUUACACGUCCAAGUUGUGGUUUAGCCUCUUCCGCCACCAACGCAACUGAGGUAGGAGGUGUCGUCCUUCUUGGUAUCAUUGCCGUGACUUUGGAGGGUCCCCGUGGCCAGAUUGUGGUUAACGCCCUAAUUGACGAAGGAUCUGAUACGUCAUUCAUGAGUGAACGAGUAUUGAAGAGACUUGGAGGCCAAAAAAGGAAGGAGAAACCCAUGUUUGUUCAUGGUGCAGUUGGUUCGUCAACUAUCAAGUCUGGAAACUACAACUUGAAGAUUUUGUAUGCCGACAAAAGUGGAGGGCUUGAUCUCAACAUGAAGGUUAUCCCUAAAGUCUGCGGGACGCUUAAGGGCAAUGAUUGGGCCCAAUUGAAGGGUCACUGGAAGCAUCUUUGAGAUCUCCCAAUAAAGGGAGACAAUUCACCUGUGGAAAUUCUUUUAGGAUUAGACGCAGGAAUGCUUAUUGAACCCCGGGAAGUAAUACGUGGAAAUCCGUCAGAACCAUACGCCCUCCGAACACUUCUAGGCUGGAUUUGCCGUGGCAAAACUGAUCCCCGAAUUGAACUUGGACUGGAGACAGAGUCCAGGGUGAACCAUGCCAUGGUGGAAGUUCCUCUAAAUGAGGCUGUAUCUCAAUUCUACCACACAGAGAGUUAUGGCGCUGAAGGAAAAGAAGUUGAGGGCCCAUCCUUCAGUAUCCAAGAUCAAUAUGCCUUGAAACUCAUCAAAGAGGGUACAAAAAGACUGGAAUCUCAAACUGGAUAUGAAGUCAGCCUCCCCUGGAUCCCUGGAGAAGCAAAACCAUGGAAUAAUAGGUCGCAAGCUUUAAAAAGGCUCGAGGGUCUGGAGAGGAAGUUCCUCAGGGACCCUAAAUUCCAGGAGGCCUACGUGAAGGCAAUGGGGAAGACAAUUCAUGAAGGAUAUGCAAGGCUAGUCCCAUCAAGUGAACUGUCAAUGGAGGAGCAAGGCUUUCUUCCCCAUCAUGGGGUGUGGAAAAAAAAUGGAUCUGAUGUGAGAGUCGUGUUUGACUCAGCAUCAAAGUACAGAGGGAAGUGCUUAAACGACUGCCUCUUGACAGGUCCCAACCUACAAAACGAACUCUUUGACGUGCUGGUUAGGUUCAGGGAGCAUGAAAUAGCCCUAACUGCCGAUAUUGAAGCCAUGUUCAGUAGGAUCAGAGUGAAGAAAGAGGAUGCUGCCUACCAUCGAUUUCUGUGGCGUGAGUCCAGUUCCGAGGAGGUUCAGGUCUGGGAAAUGACUGGUGUAGUCUUUGGUGAUUCAUGCUCCCCUUGCAUUGCCAUAAACGUCCUACAUCAGACCGUUGAGGAUGCUGGUUGUGAGGAGGAGAUCCAGGAAUCAAAAUGAAAGUGGUAUCGAUUGCGAUAAUGACCCUUCUUGCCAUUCAUCAAGGCUCUUCCUUGAGCCUUCCUUGUUUAGAGGAUUCAUACGUGGACUCCAAGCUCUCAAAUAAAGGUUACGUCCGAGCAGC